UACGUAGGGUGCGAGCGUUAAUCGGAAUUACUGGGCGUAAAGCGUGCGCAGGCGGUGAUGUAAGACAGGUGUGAAAUCCCCGGGCUUAACCUGGGAACUGCAUCCGAUACUGGAUGGCUUGAAUUCGGGAGAGGGAUGCAGAAUUCCAGGUGUAGCGGUGAAAUGCGUAGAUAUCUGGAGGAAUACCGGUGGCGAAGGCGGCAUCCUGGACCGACAUUGACGCUGAGGAGCGAAAGCCAGGGGAGCAAACGGG
rnacentral:rRNA from 1 species